GCCUAAGAAUUUCAUGAAUUCAUUUUUUAAGAGCUGAAUAAUACUCUAUUUUGUAAAUGUACCACAUUUUCUGUAUUCAAUCUUCUAUUGAGGGGCAUAUGGGUUCUUUCCAUCUUCUUGAUAUUAUUAAUAAGGCUUCUAUGUACAUAGUGGAGCAUGUGCCCUUAUUACAUGUUGUAGCAUUUUCUGGAUAUAUACCCAGGAGUAGUAUUGCUGGGUUCUAACGUAGUAUUAUGUACAGUUUUCUUUUUUAAGAUUUAUUUAUUGAUUAUAUGUAAAUACACUGUAGCUGUCUUCAGACACUCCCAAAGAGGGAGUCAGACCUCAUUACGAAUGGUUGUGAGCCACCAUGUGGUUGCUGGGAAUUGAACUCCGGACCUUUGGGAAAGCAGUCAGGUGCUCUAACCUACUGAGCCAUCUCACCAGCCCUAUGUCCAGUUUUCUAAGGAACUGCCAAACACUCUGAUUUCCAGAGUGGUUGUACUGGCUUGCAAUACCACCAACAAUGGUAGAGUGUUCCUCUUUUUCCACAUCCCAGCCAGCAUUUGCUAUACCUGAAUUUUUAAUCUUAGCCAUUCUGGCUAGUGUGAGGUAGAAUCUAGAAUUGCUCUGUAGUACAGCUCGAUGUCAGGGAUAGUGAUUCCACCAGAAGUUAUUUUAUUGUUGAGAAUACUAUUCACUAUCCUAGGUUAUUUGUUAUUCCAGGUGAAUUUGCAAAUUGCUCUUCCUAACUAUAUGAAGAAUUGAGUUGGAAUUUUGAUGGGGAUUACAUUGAAUCUGUAUACUGCUUUUGGCAAGAUGUUCAUUUUUACUAUAUUAAUCCUGCCAAUCCAUGAGCAUGGGAGAUCUUUCCAUCUUCUGAGAUCUUCUUUUGUUUUUUUUUCAGAGACUUGAAAUUCUUGUCACACAGUUCUUUUACUUACUUAGAAAGUCACACCAAGGUUCCUGGAUCCCUCAGAGACUAGACUGCACAGGUGAGAGUGUGGACUACAGAAGCUCCAUAGCUUCUGGGUCAAGUGGAAGCGACACAGCUUCUGGGGCAGACCCCUUUUCAGGCUCCAAACAUCCGGGCACCUUCUCUGACAGAGGAGAGGUAUCUGCCGGGCCUUGGGGGGCUUUGCCGGGGCACCUGGGGGAGCCAUCUCUGGUCCUGAAUCUCUCAGAGACUAGUCUGCACAGGUGAGAGUGUGGACUACAGAAGCUCCACAGCUUCUGGGUCAGGAGGAAGCUCCACAGCUUCUGGGGCAGGCCUCAUUUGGGGCUCCAGACAUCUGGGCAACUUCCUUACCAGAGGAGAGGUAUCAGCCCUGCCCAGGAGGGCUUUGCCAGAGCACCUGGGGUAGCCAUCUAGGUUCCUGGAUCCCUCAAGGACUAGUCUGCACAGGUGAGAGUGUGGACUACAGAAGCUACACAGCUUUUGGGACAGGCAGAAGCAACACAGCUUCUGGGGAAGACCUCUUUUCGGGCUCCAGACAUCCGGGCACCUUCCCUGACAGAGGAGAGGUGUCUGCCCAGCCUUGGGGGCCUUUGCCGGAGCACCUGGGGGAGACAUCUCUGGUCCUGACUCUCUCAGAAUCUAGUCUGCACAGGUGAGUGUGGACUACAGAAGCUCCACAUAUUCUGGGUCAGGAGGAAGUGACACAGCUUCUGGGGCAGACCCCAUUUCAGGCUCCAGAUAUCUAGGCACCUUUCCUCCCAGAGGAGAGCUGUCUGCCCCACCUGGGAAGGCUUUGCCAAAGCACCUGGGGGAGCUAUCUUGGUUCCCGGAUCCCUCAGAGGCUAGUCUGUGCAGGUGAGAGUGUGGACUACAGAAGCUCCACAGCUUCUAGGACAGGGGGAAUUGACACAGCUUCUGGGACAGGCCCUGUUUCAGGCCUUCGUUUUCUGCCAGGAGGCAGGUCUGAAAGCCAGAUAUCUGUGCACCUUCCCUGCAAGAGAAGAGCUUGCCUGCAGAGAGUACUCUGACCACUGAAAUGCAAGAGAGAUCUAGUCUCACAGGUCUGCUGAUAGAGGCCAACAGAAUCACAGGAGGAACAAGCUCCAACCAGAGACAACUAUAAGAACUAACUCCAGAGAUUACCAGAUGGCAAAUGACAAACAUAAGAAUCUUACUAACAGGAACCACUCGCCAUCAUCAGAACCCAGCACUCCCACCUCAGCCAGUUCUGGAUACCCCAACAUACCUGAAAAGCUAGAUCUGGAUUUAAAAGCAUAUCUCAUGAUGAUGGUAGAAGACAUCAAGAAGGACUUUAAUAACUCACCUAAGAAAUACAGGAUAACACUGCUAAAGAGGUAGAAGUCCUUAAAGAAAAACAGGAAAACACAACCAAGCAGGUAGAAGUCCC
rnacentral:lncRNA from 1 species